GAAUAUUGCGCAAUGGGGGAAACCCUGACGCAGCAACGCCGCGUGAAGGAAGAAGGCCUUCGGGCUGUACACUUCUCUUAUUAGGGACGAACAAAUGACGGUACCUAAGCAACAAGCUACGGCUAACUACGUGCCAGCAUCCGCGGUAAUACGUAGGUGGCAAGCGUUGUCCGGAAUUACUGGGUGUAAAGGGCGUGUAGGCGGGAAGGCAAGUCAGAUGUGAAAUUCCGGGGCUUAACCUCGGCGCUGCAUCUGAAACUGUAUUUCUUGAGUAUCGGAGAGGAAAGCGGAAUUCCCAGUGUAGCGGUGAAAUGCGUAGAGAUUGGGAGGAACACCAGUGGCGAAGGCGGCUUUCUGGACGAAAACUGACGCUGAGGCGCGAAAGCGUGGGGAGCAAACAGG
rnacentral:rRNA from 1 species